rnacentral:rRNA from 1 species
UAUUAUAAAUUAAAUAAUUUUAUAUUAUAAAAUAUAUUUUAUAAAAAUUAAAUAAUAUGGCAGUAUUUUUUUUUAAUUAGAGGAUUUUGUUAUGUUAUAGAUAAUACACUUUAUAAAUUAUUUAAUUUAAUUAUAUUGUAUAUUGUUGUAUUAAACUAAUAUAUUUAUAAUGAUUAGUAAUAUAUUUAUACACAAUAAUAAUUCAAAUAAAUAUGCAUAUAAUAAUUAAAUUUUAAAUUAAAUACAAUAAUUAUAAAUUUAUGGAUAGUUUUUUUUAAAAAAAACUAAAAAUAGGAUUUAAUAGUAAAUUUUAAUAGAUAUUUUUUUUGAAUAAUUUUAAAAAUAUGUACAUAUUGCCCGUCGUUUUUAAAUUAUUUUAAAAUAA